GCUUAACACAUGCAAGUCGAGGGGUAACAGAGGAGCUUGCUCUUGCUGACGACCGGCGCACGGGUGCGUAACGCGUAUACAAUCUGCCUUACACUAAGGGAUAGCCCAGAGAAAUUUGGAUUAACACCUUAUAGUUUAUUUUUAUGGCAUCAUUUAAAUAAUAAAGUUUACGGUGUAAGAUGAGUAUGCGUCCCAUUAGUUUGUUGGUAAGGUAACGGCUUACCAAGACUACGAUGGGUAGGGGCCCUGAGAGGGGGAUCCCCCACACUGGUACUGAGACACGGACCAGACUCCUACGGGAGGCAGCAGUGAGGAAUAUUGGACAAUGGAGGAGACUCUGAUCCAGCCAUGCCGCGUGCAGGAAGACGGUCCUAUGGAUUGUAAACUGCUUUUAUACAGGAAGAAUAAGGACUACGUGUAGUCUGGUGACGGUACUGUAAGAAUAAGGACCGGCUAACUCCGUGCCAGCAGCCGCGGUAAUACGGAGGGUCCGAGCGUUAUCCGGAAUUAUUGGGUUUAAAGGGUCCGUAGGCGGGCUGUUAAGUCAGGGGUGAAAGUUUGCAGCUCAACUGUAGAAUUGCCUUUGAUACUGAUGGUCUUGAAUUAUUGUGAAGUGGUUAGAAUAUGUAGUGUAGCGGUGAAAUGCAUAGAUAUUACAUAGAAUACCGAUUGCGAAGGCAGAUCACUAACAAUUGAUUGACGCUGAUGGACGAAAGCGUGGGUAGCGAACAGGAUUAGAUACCCUGGUAGUCCACGCCGUAAACGAUGGAUACUAGCUGUUUGGAUUUCGAUCUGAGCGGCCAAGCGAAAGUGAUAAGUAUCCCACCUGGGGAGUACGUUCGCAAGAAUGAAACUCAAAGGAAUUGACGGGGGCCCGCACAAGCGGUGGAGCAUGUGGUUUAAUUCGAUGAUACGCGAGGAACCUUACCAGGGCUUAAAUGUAGAUUGACAGGUUUAGAGAUAGACUUUCCUUCGGGCAAUUUACAAGGUGCUGCAUGGUUGUCGUCAGCUCG
rnacentral:rRNA from 1 species